rnacentral:rRNA from 1 species
UAAGGAAUAUUGGUCAAUGGACGCAAGUCUGAACCAGCCAUGCCGCGUGAAGGAUGAAGGUCCUCUGGAUUGUAAACUUCUUUUAUCUGGGACGAAAACGGGAUUUUUAUCUCAAUUGACGGUACCAGAGGAAUAAGCACCGGCUAACUCCGUGCCAGCAGCCGCGGUAAUACGGAGGGUGCGAGCGUUAUCCGGAUUUCCUGGGUUUAAAGGGUGCGUAGGUGGGCUUAUAAGUCAGUGGUGAAAUCUCCGAGCUUAACUUGGAAACUGCCAUUGAUACUAUAGGUCUUGAAUUAUCUGGAGGUAAGCGGAAUAUGUCAUGUAGCGGUGAAAUGCUUAGAUAUGACAUAGAACACCAAUUGCGAAGGCAGCUUACUACAUAUAAAUUGACGCUGAGGCACGAAAGCGUGGGGAUCAAACA